UCCCUGGAGGGCUAGCGGUUAGGCCUCGAUGCUCUCACUGUCGCAGCCUGGGUUCAGUUCCCGGUCAGGGAA